rnacentral:tRNA from 1 species
GCCCCGGUAGCUCAAAUGGAUAGAGCUCGGACUUCGCAGUUCGCAGGUUGUGGGUUCGAGUCCCACCCGGGGCC